UUGAACGCUGGCGGCAGGCCUAACACAUGCAAGUCGAGCGGUAGAGAGAAGCUUGCUUCUCUUGAGAGCGGCGGACGGGUGAGUAAUGCCUAGGAAUCUGCCUGGUAGUGGGGGAUAACGUUCGGAAACGGACGCUAAUACCGCAUACGUCCUACGGGAGAAAGCAGGGGACCUUCGGGCCUUGCGCUAUCAGAUGAGCCUAGGUCGGAUUAGCUAGUUGGUGGGGUAAUGGCUCACCAAGGCGACGAUCCGUAACUGGUCUGAGAGGAUGAUCAGUCACACUGGAACUGAGACACGGUCCAGACUCCUACGGGAGGCAGCAGUGGGGAAUAUUGGACAAAGGGCGAAAGCCUGAUCCAGCCAUGCCGCGUGUGUGAAGAAGGUCUUCGGAUUGUAAAGCACUUUAAGUUGGGAGGAAGGGCAGUAAAUUAAUACUUUGCUGUUUUGACGUUACCGACAGAAUAAGCACCGGCUAACUCUGUG
rnacentral:rRNA from 1 species